GAUGAAGAACGUAGCGAAAUGCGAUAAGUAGUGUGAAUUGCAGAAUUCAGCGAAUCAUCGAAUCUUUGAACGCACAUUGCGCCCCUUGGUAUCCCGAGGGGCAUGCCUGUUCGAGCGUCAUUUCACCACUCAAGCCUGGCUUGGUGUUGGGCGACGUCCCCUUUAGGGACGCGCCUCGAAACGCUCGGCGGCGCGGCACCGGCUUUAAGCGUAGCAGAAUCUUUCGCUUUGGAAGUCGGGGCCCCGCCUGCCGGAAUACCUACUUGUAAGGUUGACCUCGGAUCAGGCAGGGAUACCCGCUGAACUUAAGCAUAUCAAUAAGCGGAGGA
rnacentral:misc_RNA from 1 species